rnacentral:lncRNA from 1 species
AUGCCUUUCCGAUGGCAUUUUGGGCAUGUUUUCUUCUGUGUAGAAACUUCUGGGAACAAGUUUAGAGGUGUGUGCUCACUCAGUCGUGUCCGACUCUUCGCAACUGCAUGGACUAUAGUCCGCCGGGCUCUUCUGUGCAUGGGAUUCUCCAGGCGAGAAUACUGGAGCGGGGUGCAUGCCCUGUGGCAGGGGAUCUUCCCGACCCAGGGAUCAACCCGCGUCUCAGGUCUCCUGCACUGGCAGACGGGUUCUUUGCCAUCUGAGCCACCAGGGAAGCCCCGGGGACAUGCAUAUAUACCUGCACAUAUGUAUUCAGUAUGGUUAUUCAUGUCACACACUCAUAAAAUUCUCCCCACGACUCCUGUGAGGAACGUGUUGGGUGUUUUUCCCAUUUACCUCUCUGAGCCUCAGUGUCUCCAAUGGUGUGAAAGGCCAGUGCACGCUGGUCCAUCCCACAGGGUUCCCAUCCAUCCAUCCACUCAUGCAGGCAUUCAUCUGUCCAUCGGGAAUACCCAAAAGACCAGGCCUGUGAGGCUGCUUCUCAGACACAAAGUCCUGGAACACCAUGAGAGCUGGUCAGUGCCGCCAGACGUCAGCCAUUCUGAGGGGCUCUGGCCACAGCGGGGUCUGUGGGAAGGACACCCCAAUUCCAAGCUGUGGCACCUACCGCAAGGGACCCUGUCCUCAGCAGCACUGACUCCUGACAGCACACACCUAGGCCAACAGGCGUGUCUUACUUUUCAACGCCCUUCCGUAUGUCCUUUGCCUCAGACUCCUAACUGUUCAAGAUCAGACGGGAAAACGUUUUGUUCAGAAAUUAGCCUGAGUCAAUUUUCGUUUAGAUUUGUCCCUGUUGCUUGACCCGAGUCCUCCGAGAGCGCCACCAGGAAAAGAAAAUCUGCUCUCAGCGGGGGAGGAGGUGAGGCAAGCAAACCUCCGCAGCGGCACGAUCUAUCCGAUCUAUCCGUUGCGAGGCCACCUGCAGCCCGCAGAGGCAGCCCGAUCAGCACAGUCACUUUACAAAGCCCGCAAAGCGCUUACUCACCAAAACGCAGGCCGUUAUUUUCCCCUGGACGCCAGAUGGGCAAUGAUGCAGGCCCCGGCUUGACGAGGACGGAGCAGA